AUGUUCCCCCAUGGCGGUCAAUCACUCGAGUUAAUACAACCUCUGUCCAUCCGAGCCUCACAUUGGCAAGCCAUUCCCGGGGUAUCAGAUUGGGUCAUGGGAGUAAUAAAACACGGCUAUUCCCUUCAGUUCGCACGACGGCCACCACGCUUUCGCGGGGCGGUCACCACUUCAGUGCACAACGAGAACGCUCACGUUCUUCGUGCCGAAGUGAAAAAUCUGCUGGUGAAGGGAGCUAUAGAAAUCGUUCCCCCAGCACACCGCGACUCAGGGUUUUACAGCCGUUACUUCCUGGUUCCCAAGAAGGAUGGCGGGCUGCGCCCCAUCCUCGAUUUAAGACAUCUGAACCGUGCCCUCAUGAGACGGCGCUUCAGAAUGAUCACAUUGAAACAAAUCCUCUCGCAAAUACGCUCAGGGGAUUGGUUCUUUUCGCUGGAUCUGAAAGACGCUUACUUUCACAUCCAGAUAGCUCCCCGUCACAGGUCGUUCUUGAGAUUUGCCUUCGAGGGCGUGGCUUACCAAUACAAGGUCCUCCCCUUUGGGCUGUCUCUGGCGCCUCGCACGUUUCCCAAGUGCAUGGAUGCGGCUCUCUCCCCUCUCAGGCAGAAGGGCAUCCGCAUUCUCAAUUACCUCGACGACUGGCUAGUUCUAGCUCAGUCAGAGGGGGAGGCAUUGGGUUACAGAACUGUGCUCCUCAGCCAUCUGGAAUGCCUGGGGCUCAGGGUGAACUUUGUCAAGAGCUCACUGUCCCCCAGCCGGCGGAUAUCGUUUCUGGGAACAGUGUUAGACUCAGUGACAAUGAGGGCAACAAUGGUGAAGGAGCGCGCUGCGGCUCUACAGCGACUUGCGGCCUCUUUCAAAAUAGGUGCUUCUCGACCCCUAAAGACAUUCCAGAAGCUGCUGGGUCUUAUGGCGGCGGCAUCGCCGGUGCUGGAGCUCGGGCUGCUUCGUAUGCGCCCCCUCCAAUAUUGGCUGAAACCACGUGUUCCACCUCAUGCAUGGCGUCACGGACGCUUGAAUAUCAAGGUGAGUCAGGACUGUAUUUCGGCCCUGACCCCUUGGAGGGACAUGCAAUGGAUGGAACGGGGUGCUCCACUUGGUAUGGUUUGCAGAAGGAAAGUGAUCUCCACAGACGCGUCCAACAAGGGUUGGGGCGCGCUGUGCGAAGGGAAACCCGCUUUCGGCCAAUGGUCGAAAGAGGAGAGCAGGCUUCACAUCAACUGCCUCGAGAUGAUUGCAGUUCAACGAGCCUGCCAGAGCUUCCUGUCAGACCUAAAGAGCCACCACGUGCUGGUCAGAUCGGACAGCAUGACGGUGGUCUCUUAUAUAAAUCACCAAGGUGGGCUGUCGUCGACGCGUCUCUUCAGACUGACGUCGCGACUGCUGGAAUGGACCCAAAGCAAUUUGGGGUCCCUGAGAGCAGUGCAUCUUCCGGGCAAGCUGAACCAGGGCGCGGAUAUGCUGUCAAGAAGCGGAGUCUCCUCAGAAGAGUGGAGACUCCACCCGCAGACGGUUCAGAAGAUAUGGGAGGUCUUUGGCAGAGCGGAAAUAGACCUCUUUGCCUCAAAAGACAACUCUCAUUGCCCAAUAUAUUUUUCCAAGAUCAAGGACGCGUUGUCCCAGGACUGGCCCAACCGUCUUCUUUAUGCUUUUCCUCCGGUCCCUCUGAUUCCCCAAGUAAUCAGGCGGGUCAGGGACCAGAGAUGCAGGGUUCUGCUUGUAGCCCCAUUCUGGGAAAAUCAGCACUGGAUAGCCGACCUGUCGCAGAUGCUGACUGCAGCCCCAUGGCCCGUUCCCCUGAGACGGGACCUCCUUUCUCAGGCGGACGGGACGAUUUGGCAUCCACACCCAGAGAAGUGGUCUCUGCACAUUUGGUCGCUCGACGGGAGCCCGCGGGACUCCCUGAGCGUGUGCUAG
ensembl:lncRNA